GACGAACGCUGGCGGCGUGCUUAACACAUGCAAGUCGAACGAUAACGUCAGGACUUGUGGCUCAGGCAGAAAUAAAGCGCGGGAAAGUGGCAGACGGGUGAGUAACACUUGAGGAACCGACUGCUAACAAAGGGAAAGCUCCGGGAAACAGGGAUUAAUACCAUAUAACUGUGCGACGAAUCAUUUCGCUACAAUCAAAGCUAAGUCGCUAAUAGAUGGGCCCGCGUUAGAUUAACCAGAUGGUGGGGUAACGGCCCACCAAAGCAACGAUGGGUAACCGGCCUGAGAGGAUGAACAGCCACACUGGAACUGAGACACGGCCCAGACUCCUACGGGAGGCAGCAGUGGGGAAUAUUGCACAAUGGACGAAAGUCUGAUGCAGCGACGCCGCGUGAGUGAUGAAGGAAUUAGUGUUGUAAAGCUCUUUUACAUGGGAAGAAAAUGACAGUACCAGGAGAAUAAGCUCCGGCUAACUACGUG
rnacentral:rRNA from 1 species